rnacentral:misc_RNA from 1 species
AAAAAAAAAAAUGACGAAAAAACGAUUUACACCACCCUUGUUGUUGUCUGUUUGUCUACAUGAUGAACUUGAUAUCCGGAUUUCUUAUCGAUUUCAGCCACAUAUCUGCCAUUACACGCGAUGAUAUGCUCCAUAGCAAGUCUUGGCCUUUUAGUGGUGAAGUUUUCUUUGCUUUUUUCGCCAUUUUACCAAGUCCAUAAGCUAUUAGCCACUGCAUUGCUGUCAAUUUCUGUUUUUCUGUGUCCCACGCGUUCUUCUUUCCUCCGCUCCUGACUUUCAAUCCGCCAAUAGCCAGACACGCGACUUUAAACUUCUUUUCCUCAUCAUCAAAGUUGUUAGUUUCCUCAUCAAUAGGAACUGCUUGAACCAGUGCUAUCAUAGGUCCUCCAACUGCUUCGAAUUGCCUCAACGGAUCCCUCAGUUGAACCACAACUGAGAUCAUUAUACUAUCACUUUUGUCAUCUUUUGUCCAGUCUUCGAGUGGGACAGCAGAGUCCAACGGGUGACCAUCAUCAUCUUUUUUGAUAGCUGAAACAUCGAAAGGAGCCUCUUCUUCCGGUAUGUCUGCUUGAAUUUUCAAUGCUUCGACUGUCAUUGCCUCCAUUUUCUGCAGUGUGAAUGCAAGAAUCUCGUCCACUGUAGACGGCUUGUCACUGAUGUUCCAUAUCCCCGUAGAGAUCCUCUCGUUCCUGCUUGUGUUCAUCGCUGUCGCCAUUGAUUUCACUACUGCAACUGUCUCAGCAGCACUUGAGCUGGCGCCUCCUUCUUUGUUCCUCCCUUGAAUAAUUGCUGAAGCAAUGCCUUCAAAUGCUAUCUGCUCCGCUGUUUUGCCCACAAGCUCUUCCAUUGGCAUCAUCGAUAAGAUCUUGGACGUAAAUUCCUCUAGCCCCACAGCUGCCAUCCUCUGGAACAACUCGAAUCCAAUCAUAGAUGACGGAACUGAUGGAAGGACAAAUGGUUUUGAUAUCUGCAUUGCAAGUUUCGGAGUGUCUUUUCUCAAAACAACAGUAUUAAGAGGAUUCAUAGCUGCUAAAAAACCGCCAUUUCUUGUUUGAACAACACAUCCUAACCCCUUAGCAAGAUCAGGUAUGAAAAUGCCCGAUUCUCUCUUUUCGUUGUCUUCAUUUCCUCCUCCUCCUUGAAGCUUUAACGCGGGGGUUUCUUGAUUAUCCGUCUUCUGCUGACUAACACCUGGAUCUUCCAGUAGUUGGAGGAAUUCCCUUGUCACAGUUUCCUCAUCGGCAUCCAGCCUUUGGGAUUCGGAAUCAUCCUCCUCCAUCUUAACUUGAUUUUCAUCUCUAAACAUUGAUUCAAGUGCUUUGAUUUGCUGUGCAAUGGAAUCAAGUGCUGACAAUCUUGUCAAAUGCAUUUGAUCGUGGACGACUUCCUUAACAACCUCGUGACUAGAUGAUACCGAUCUUUUAUCAGAAUUUCCUUCUGAUCGCUCGUCUCCAUCUUCCUCCUCCUCUCCUACUUCUUUUGUAGCUAAUUCAUCUUUAUCUUCCAUUUCAACUCCUUUGUCUUGAAUUUCAAUUCCUUUAUCCACAAUAUCGAAAUCAGGGAGAUCAAGAUCCUCUACUUUCGACUCUGGCUCCUCCUUCACAGGCUCAUCGUCUAGAUUCAGCUCAUCAAUCCCUUGAAUAUUUGCUGUUGUUCCUCCUUGUGAUGGAGUCCAGUUAGCUGAACUUAAACUAGUCAUUCUUGGACUCUGAACACUAAAAGACGUUUUCGAUUGCUUUCUAGCAAAUGUAGAUGAGUAGCUCUUCGCGUUCUUCGUUCCCCCUUCACCUUGGCUAUAAAUCCCAACUCCACCAUCUUUCUCCAU